rnacentral:rRNA from 1 species
AUACGGAGGGUCCGAGCGUUAUCCGGAAUCAUUGGGUUUAAAGGGUCCGUAGGCGGGAAUCUAAGUCAGUGGUGAAAUCUUGCAGCUCAACUGUAAAAUUGCCAUUGAGACUGGAUUUCUUGAAUUAGUGUGAAGUGGUUAGAAUGUGUAGUGUAGCGGUGAAAUGCAUAGAUAUUACACAGAAUACCAAUUGCGAAGGCAGAUCACUAACACUAUAUUGACGCUAAGGGACGAAAGCGUGGGGAGCGAACAGGAUUAGAUACCCUAGUAGUCC